AGCUGAUCCAAAGACAGUGAGUUAUCUCAAUUUAUUGUUCAGUCAGUUACAAAUCGAACUCAUUUGACUCCUUCCUCCUUUCUCGCUUUAUUGCACUUGAUGAGUCUUAA
rnacentral:Y_RNA from 1 species